CUGUAAUCCGCUUCUCAGUGGUCUUACGUGCUCCCAACUAGCGCUGUUACAGUCCAUAAUGAAUGCGCGGCGAGGCUCAUCUUCCUGUCCGCCCGCACCUCCCAUGCCUCACCCUUCUGUCAGUCCCUACAUUGGCUUCCUAUAAAAUAUAGAGCUCAAUUGAAAAUUUUGGUUCUUGCUUUCAAAUCUCUACAUAAUGCUGCUCCCACCUAUCUAUCCUCCCUUAUACACAAGUAUAUCCCAUCUAGGCCCUUACGAUCUGCUGAAGACUUACGUCUAUCUUCUGUCCGUACUCCCACCUCUGAUGCUCGCCUUCAAGAUUUCGCCUUCAAGAUUUCUCGAGGGCUGCACCGUUCCUCCUCCGUUAGAUGCUCACCCAGUCUCCACUCCUUCAAAAAAUCGUUAAAAACCCACUUCUUCAUAAAAGCGUACCAAUUAAACUGUUAAUAGCUCCUGACUGAUUCCUCUUCUGCAACUGUCACUAGUCUAAUACUAUCCUUACCUUUUUCUGUCAUUUUACCUCACUCCCUCUAGCAUGUAAGCUCAUUGAGCAGGGCCAUCAACCCCUCUGUUCCUGUGUGUCCAACUUGUCUGGUUACAACUACAUGUCUGUUCGUCCACCCAUUGUAAAGCCCUGCGAAAUUUGACGGCGCU